rnacentral:misc_RNA from 1 species
UUUCCGUAGGUGAACCUGCGGAAGGAUCAUUACUGAGUGCCCGUCCCUCGUGGACCGACCCUCCCCCUCUCGCCCCUUGUAUAACCUGUUGCUUUCGCGGGCCCCCUGGGAAUUUCCUGUUGUUGAGGGGACCUGCGCUCCUGGGUCAGUGCCCCCACGAGCGCCCUUGACCCCUAAUGACGUUGGUCUGAUCGAGCAUGAUUGAUUCUAAUCAAAACUUUCAACAAUGGAUCUCUCGGUUCCGGCCUCGAUGAAGACAGCUGCAGAGAGGAAGAGCAC